rnacentral:misc_RNA from 1 species
GGGAUGAACAGAAACAGGGCUUCCAAUUGGAACUCCUGCAAGAUAUUGUGAAUUUAUAGAAUUGCCACCUACAUUGUUCCCAGUUGAAGCAAAAUGGGACUGCAAAUUAGGAUUGCUCAUAGAAACAGUAAUUGUUGGAUUUUGAUGGUUGAUGACUGGGAAUAUCCUCAUUUGCUGGGGGCGAUGGACUGGAUAUGCAUCAACAUGCUGCACAGCAUAGGCAGUCAUUGCAUAAUGGUUUGCGCCUUGUCUAUCAAGAGCCAUAUUUUUCUGAAUCAUGCUAGAAUAUUGUUUCUGGUUAGAAUCUAAAGCAUCAGCAGUUGAAAUUGGAGUAAAACCAGAGGAUGCUAUGGGAUCAUGAAUAGUUUUUCUGGGCUUUUCUUCCUCACCAGACUUAAAUGACAAAAAUUGAGGAAUGGCAGAAACCUUCUUCGA